AGGUUUUUUUUGUGAGAUUUUUUCAUGGUGUGGGAAUAAGACUUGGAGGUCUAAUACAGCUAGUAUAUAGAUUAGCAUCAGCUUGUCUUUAAGGAUUGAGGCUGAGAAUGGCCAUUGGAGCUGACUAAUAUGGUGACUUCAACUGUGGCUGCAGGAAAUUAUUGUGCAAUACAACUGAAACCAAAAAGAAUGUAAUUCAGACUAUUUUUGUGUAUGUUUUAAAAAAUGUUCAUAUUUUUUUACCAAAAAAAAAAUUUAAAAAUUGUAAAGAUUCUCCAUUUUCAACAAAGCUGGAAGUUGUUGGCUAAAUUGAUACUUCAUAGUUUUCCGAUUUUACUUUUAGACCUACUCUUGAUAUCUUAAUUAUGGUCAAUGUGUUAUCAAACAUUUCCAGAAGGUUAAAAAUGGAGAAUCUAAAAAAAAAUUAAAAAAAAAUGUUAUUUUGUUAAAAUGUACAUUUUGGUUUUCUGAUUUGUUGGAUGUAUCUCUUUUUUUCUUCAUUAGUUUGUUAUUUUUUGCAGUGUUUUUAGCUAUAAAAAAGAUUAUUUCACAAGAAGCAUAGAAAAAAACACAUCUUGGUGAGAAAAGAUUAAUUCAGAUUUUUAGUGUUAAAUGCCACAAUAAGCAAGAUUUGUUAUAUAUCUUGGUGUCCAUUUUUUCAAUUGGUUGAGAAAAUCGGAGUAAUGGAAGUGAACCACCUAGGUGAACAAUGAUGUACUAAAUAUUUUUGUUAAUUAUUUAAAUAAUUUAUAUCAAAUUAUUUAUUA